AUAGCCAAGUCAGCCUUUGUUACAUAAGUCCCACAUUGUAACCCAGAACCAAGCUAACAUCAACUCACAGAGAUACCCCUGCCUCGGAGUGCUGGGAUUACAGGUAAAAAGGUGUGGACAUGUUGGAGAAUGCCUUCAAUCCAAGCAUUGGGUGAGUAGACAGGACUAUCUACCAGGCUCUCUAACCAAACCACCUACCUUAACCAGGGAGCACAGGUCCCAAUGACACCCUGCCUCAAAACCAAGAUGGCACUUAAGGAAUGAUGACACCUAAGGCCACACCCAUAUACACACCAAAAUGAAUUUUAAGAAAUUCUUUUUUACUUCUUAUUAACCAACCAUUACUCAAAGCCCAUUGUACUCCAUAAUUUUCUCACAUGAACUCCCCUGUUCGUUCUAAUACCACAGGUUGAGUGGGUCAUUGUGAGUACUGGUGUCCUCCUCCUGAGAGUAAC
rnacentral:lncRNA from 1 species